rnacentral:rRNA from 1 species
AGGACGAACGCUGGCGGCGCGCCUAACACAUGCAAGUCGAGCGAGAACCAGGGCUUGCCCUGGGGAAAGCGGCGAACGGGUGCGUAACACGUGAGCAACCUGCCCCAAAGACCGGGACAACCCGAGGAAACUCGGACUAAUACCGGAUGCCCUCACCGGGCCGCAUGGUCUGGUGAGGAAAUGGAUUCCGCUUUGGGAUGGGCUCGCGGUCUAUCAGCUUGUUGGUGGGGUAACGGCCUACCAAGGCGACGACGGAUAGCUGGUCUGAGAGGACGAUCAGCCACACUGGGACUGAGACACGGCCCAGACUCCUACGGGAGGCAGCAGUGGGGAAUCUUGCGCAAUGGGGGAAACCCUGACGCAGCGACGCCGCGUGCGGGAUGAAGGCCUUCGGGUUGUAAACCGCUUUCAGCAGGGACGAAAUUGACGGUACCUGCAGAAGAAGGCCCGGCCAACUACGCGCCAGCAGCCGC